AUUGAACGCUGGCGGCAGGCCUAACACAUGCAAGUCGAACGGCAGCACAGAAGAGCUUGCUCUUUGGGUGGCGAGUGGCGGACGGGUGAGUAAUGUCUGGGAAGCUGCCCGAUGGGGGGGGAUAACUACUGGAAACGGUAGCUAAUACCGCAUAACGUCGCAAGACCAAAGUGGGGGACCUUCGGGCCUCACACCAUCGGAUGUGCCCAGAUGGGAUUAGCUAGUAGGUGGGGUAAUGGCUCACCUAGGCGACGAGCCCUAGCUGGUCUGAGAGGAUGACCAGCCACACUGGAACUGAGACACGGUCCAGACUCCUACGGGAGGCAGCAGUGGGGAAUAUUGCACAAUGGGCGCAAGCCUGAUGCAGCCAUGCCGCGUGUAUGAAGAAGGCCUUCGGGUUGUAAAGUACUUUCAGCGGGGAGGAAGGCGGUGAGGUUAAUAACCUCGCCGAUUGACGUUACCCGCAGAAGAAGCACCGGCUAACUCCGUGCCAGCAGCCGCCGCCG
rnacentral:rRNA from 1 species